CAGUCGCCGCGGUAAUACGUAGGUCCCGAGCGUUGUCCGGAUUUAUUGGGCGUAAAGCGAGCGCAGGCGGUUAGAUAAGUCUGAAGUUAAAGGCUGUGGCUUAACCAUAGUACGCUUUGGAAACUGUUUAACUUGAGUGCAAGAGGGGAGAGUGGAAUUCCAUGUGUAGCGGUGUAAUGCGUAGGUAUAUGGAGGAACACCGGUGGCGAAAGCGGCUCUCUGGCUUGUAACUGACGCUGAGACUCGAAAGCGUGGGGAGCAAACAGGAUUAGAUACCCCUGUAGUCCCUGUCUCUUAUACA
rnacentral:rRNA from 1 species